rnacentral:rRNA from 1 species
GACGAACGCUGGCGGCGUGCUUAACACAUGCAAGUCGAACGAAGAGCGAUGGAAGCUUGCUUCUAUCAAUCUUAGUGGCGAACGGGUGAGUAACGCGUAAUCAACCUGCCCUUCAGAGGGGGACAACAGUUGGAAACGACUGCUAAUACCGCAUACGAUCUAAACUCGGCAUCGAGGAUAGAUGAAAGGUGGCCUCUACAUGUAAGCUAUCACUGAAGGAGGGGAUUGCGUCUGAUUAGCUAGUUGGAGGGGUAACGGCCCACCAAGGCGAUGAUCAGUAGCCGGUCUGAGAGGAUGAACGGCCACAUUGGGACUGAGACACGGCCCAGACUCCUACGGGAGGCAGCAGUGGGGAAUCUUCCGCAAUGGACGAAAGUCUGACGGAGCAACGCCGCGUGAGUGAUGACGGCCUUCGGGUUGUAAAGCUCUGUUAAUCGGGACGAAAGGCCUUCUUGCGAAUAGUGAGAAGGAUUGACGGUACCGGAAUAGAAAGCCACGG